GAAGCAGGCUGUGUUUACAUCAGGUUUACACAUGGCAGAGAUGAGAGGACAGGAUGCAGAGACACCAAUAGAUUGAGCAAUAAAAUAAAUAGCAUGGCACGAAAACGUUUAUCAACGGAGGACCCUGUCAGCAAGCUGCUGGAAGAUACUUUCAGCGACGAAGACGACGACGGAGACUCAGCUCCUGAUAGUUUCUCAAGUGGGGUAGAAGAGGAUUUUGAAGAAGGCGAUGAUCUAUUUGAGGACAUAUCUGAUGAAGACUACAUACCCUCCACUUCACCUGGACAAUCUCAUUCUACUCCACUAUCAUCCUCUUCACAACAGCAAGCAAGCAAAUCAGUGUCAGAGCCUGAACAGACAAAUGAAGGUGAUCGCUGCCAUGCAACACCAUCUAAAUCCCCAUCCACUCGCAAACAGGGACAUGGAACAUGGACUGCAACAUCACCUCAAACACCUCGACUCUCUGCUGCUGGGUGGCAGACAGAACAACAACCAGAUGCAUUGCCUGAGCCCCUCCCAGGCUUUUGCCCUGCUCGGACACCUGGAGUACAAGUAUUUUGGUUAUCAGACGAGCCCAGCCCCUCUGAGCUGUUCAAAACAUUUUUUGAUGAAAAGUCUGUCAGGAUCAUCUGUGACAAUACAAACAAACAGGCCCAGAAGAACAUUGAUAAAGGAAAGAAAUUCAAGUGGCGUGACAUCAUUCCCAUUGAUUUCUUCAAAUUUGUGGGACUCCUCUUUUAUAUGGCAGUCUUAAAACUGCCAGAAGUGCGACUGUACUGGAAACAGAAUUCACUUUUCAGUGUCCUGUCUCCAGCCUUAGUGAUGUCCAGAAACACUUUCCAGGUGAUAUCAUGGAACCUGCACUUGAGUGAUCCAGAUGAAGAUGCAGAAAAUGACAAGAAAAAGGGCACACCUGAAUAUGACCCCUUGCACCGACUCAGGCCAUUAUAUGACCAUUUACGGAAUGCAUGUAAGGCAUCUUACCAUCCCCGUCAAAACGUCUCAAUCGAUGAACGAAUGGUCACUACAAAAGCUAAAACUGGAAUGCGUCAGUGCAUCAAAAAUAAACCCAACAAGUAUGGCUUAAAGCUGUUUGUGAUGGCGGAUUCCAGCAACGGUUACACCAGUGAUUUUUCAGUCUAUACAGGCAGAUACCACAAUUCAUCUGGACAUGGACUUACAUAUGACACUGUUAUAGGUUUGAUGAGUCAAAAAUACCUUGGAAGUGGUUAUCACCUGUACUGUGAUAACUACUACACAAGUCCAAAGCUCUUCAUGGAGCUUUGUACUUUGAAAGUCCGUGCAUGUGGCACAUACAGAGACAACAGGAGAGAAUCCCGGACUAAAAAAAAGGACAGCAGAGGAACAAUAAGGUGGAUGAGAAAUGGACCGCUGCUUUUCGUAAAGUGGAUGGACUCUAAACAGGUGUCUAUGUGCUCCACAAUUCACACUGUGUACUCAGGUGAAAUUGCGAAAAGACAUGUGAAAGGGAAAGAUGGACAAUGGAAGAUCCAAAACAUCCCCAUGCCAACCCCAGUGGCAGAAUACAAUAAGUACAUGGGCGGUGUAGAUCUAUCAGACCAGCUGAUCCAGUAUUAUUCAGUGCACCAUAAGACAGUGAGCUGGUACAGAUUAUUAUUUCAACACUUCAUAGACAUUGCAGCCACAAACUCCUACAUCCUUCACAAAGAACUGAGUCGGAUGAAUCAGAAACAACCUAUGACUCACUUGAAGUUCAUGGAGACCCUCACUGCUGAACUUUGUGGUUAUAUGUUGGACAUGACACCUGUUCCACCAUCCAGAAUAGCUACACCAGGCACACCAUCUGAAUGUGUCCUACUAUCCACACUAGACUGGCCAUCCACACCAGACAAAGUUGUCAUACAGACCUGCACCCCAGUGGCUAUAAAGCCAGAUGUAGACAAGUCAAAAAAGGCCACAGAUGGAAGACUGUCCUGUGUACACUGCAAAAAAAAGACUGCAUGGAAGUGUAGAAACUGUGGUGUGUCACUGUGUGUGAUUGUAGACAGGAAUUGUUUUGCAGAUUGGCAUGAUGCUGGUCCCUUUGCAUAAUGAAAUGGCUUUUUUGAGAUGAUGUGUGGAGUGGUGUACAUAAAGUGCGUUCAGGAAGUCUUCAGAACACUUUUUUUCAUAUUUUGUUAUAUUGCAGCCUUGAGCUAGAAUAAAAAGAGAAAUUUUCUUUCAUCAGUCUACACUCAAUACCUCAUAUUGACGAAGAGAAAACACAGUAUUAGAUUUUUUUUUUUUACAAAUUUAUUAGAAAGGACAAACUGAAAUAUCGCAGUAUUCAGACACUUGAAAUUUAGCGCAGGUUCCUCCCAUUUCUCUGGAUCAUCGUUGACAUGUUCACUGCUGACAAUCAGAGCAAAAACCAUGAGGAGAAAGCAGCUGCCUGCAGAGUUUAGAGACAGGAUUGUGUCCAGGCUCAGAUCUGGGGAAGGCUACAAAAUCAUUUCUGCUGCAUUGAAGAUUCAAGAGCACAGUGACUUCCAUCGACCAGGACCAUGAAUAGCUGUGUCUCAAUUUAGGGGCUGCAUCCUUCAGAGGACUGAAUGUGUGGCCCUUCGUAGCUGUCGUAUACCAUGAAGACCCAACUGAAAUGAGACUGUCUGGUCAACAUAGGAUUUUCGCUGUGUGGGACAAGCUGUGCCCACCCCUACUGUUGCAUCCUGCCAAGUCCUCCUGUCGCGCAGCAACCAUGAAAACAUAACUUUUUUUUUCACAAAAACUUGGAGGUUUAAGGCCCAUGGUUUUAACAGUUGUACCAUUAGCUGUUGAACUAAGCUGAAGCACAAUGCUUUCAUUUGAAAGUGGCUCUCUAUCGAUGUUCGCUUACUUGUUCAGUAAUAAAAUUAAAUAAUCAACAUUCAUCAAACUCCACUUGUGCUAUAUACUGUGCUUUGUUUGCCAAACAUAUUUGGUUAUCUUGUCUUCAUCAGGAUGGUAAAUGGGGUCAUUACUUUUUCUGUAUACAAUCCAUUGAUUGACUGUUUGACUUUACUAAAUAAAUAUAAGUUAGAAUAAAUACAAAAACAUCCGCCAAAGCCCUGUAAACUUCAAAAUGGAUUUCUUUUCAUUUUUGUUUUUAUUCUUUACGACUUGUGGACAACUAAUAAUAAAAAAAACAUGUUACACAAAUACUAUUCCAUAGUUAAAGUUUAAAGUAAUACUUUUCAGCAAUAAUUUCAACCACAGAAUUGUGAUUUAGGUGAAGUACAUUUCUUUAUUUGGUCAAUUGUAACAAUGUAAAGCUACUGCUCUGCAAAAUUCAAAAGCAAAAAGUUUCUUAAUGUCUGUUUUUAAAAGGAUGGUCAAAUGAACACUUACUUCUUUCUCAGUGUUAAUUCUAAGCAGUACCCAGUUUACCAUUCACACAGUUAGUGACCUGGUACAUCUGUAGUCUCUUAGCAACUGCUCAGUCACCAGUCCAGAGACGAUAAUCGACAUCACUGUUAUGACUGAAGCUGCAGCUUGGAGAGCCAAUAGGAGACAGUGGAGAUAACAUGAAAUGUUUGUUUGAAUGAUUAGAUUCAAAUCUGUGUUUUCAAUUAAUGUGAUCCUGCCAGCCAAACCGCCAAAUGUGCCCUGCUGUGUGGAAAAUACUGCUGGCAUGUUCUGGCGCAGCUGUAUCUACAUUCACAGUCAUUCCCUGUUCAUCUGUUCUUACCAGUGUGACUGAGUAGAUUAUAAGAGGAAACCAAUAUUGGUUUAGCCACAGAUGAAUUUAUUUCAACAUUCCUCAAAUCUCCAUCUAAGUUCUUUGAAGAUACUUGAUUGCUAAAAGUGGUGAUAAAAAACAUGGGGAGACAGAAUCUUAGGUUUAUCAUUUUUGAUACCAGAAUGUGGAGCUAAAGUGAGUAGUUGAUGACUUGUUCAGUCAUUAGUUUCUCUUAUAUUGAUUGUUUUAUUAGAAAUGAAUGUGUUAUAUGUUGAAGCAGCCCACUGUUCUACUCAUCCUGUUUAUGCUUGAAGAGGUUUAGGGCUGCAUGUGGUUCGAGUCUUUAUGUUACUUUAGGUUUUGGGACAUAUACUGUAUAUGUCAGUAGUAGACAUGCGUAUGUAUCUCUUGGGUGCUUGUUAUUGGUUGAAAUCAUAAGCUGAUAUGUAUCUUCUGUGUUCAUUUCUUUUCCCCUUGUUCUUUGUUGUAUAAAAAGGUGAAUCUGACUGUAUUGCCCCUUUAUUGAUCUUUGGGUUAAUCAGUGUCUGUGCUUUCAUUUCUGUCUGUCCAGGGUUUCAGCAGAAAAUCCAAAGCAGGGUGGUGUGACUGUACAUGUGCAGCUUCUCCUACGGCAUCUCCUUCACAACCUGACGCUGCAGCUGCAACUCCCUCCACACUGGGGUCAAGUCUCCUGUCCUUUACAGCGGAGGAGGUGAGGGCGGAGCUCAAGAGGCUACGUCCUGGAAAGGCAAAAGCCCCGGAUGGUGUGUGUCCGAGGCUGUUAAAGGACUGUGCAGCCCAGCUGGCUGAGCCUCUCCAGAGGAUCUUCAACUUAAGACUUCAAACAGGGAGAGCACCGGUCCUGUGGAAAACAUCAUGUCUUGUUCCGGUGCCUAAAGUAAGAUGGCCGGCUGAGAUAAAUGACUACAGGCCCUGGAGCAGCUGCUUCUCCACCUUCUGAGGCCAUCAUCAGUGAUCUGAUGAUGGUCUUAAGUGAAUGGAGCAACAAGAACUGCCUCCUUCUGAACAUCUCCAAGACCAAGGAGAUGGUCAUCGACUGUUGGAGGUCUAGGCCCACCCUUCAGCCAGUAAACAUUUGAGGGAAGGACAUUGAGGUGUGCACCUGGACAGUAAACUGGACUGGUCCCUGAACAUGGAUGCCAUCUACCUGAAGGGGCGGAGCCGGCUCUUUUUCCUCAGGAGGCUCAGGUCCUUUGACGUCUGCAGUGAAAUGCUGCACAUGUUUUAUCAACUUGUCUGACAUGAACACAAAGAGACUGAACAAGCUGGUCAAAAAGGCUGGGUCUGUGCUUGGCAGGAGUCUGGACUCACUCAGGACUGUUGUGGAGAGACGCAUGCAAUGUAAGCUGGAGGCCAUCUUGGACAAUACCGACCACGCUCUCCACAACAUUCUGGCAGGACAGAG